AUGUGGGUUCCUUUGGUUCUUUUCCUGGGGGCGUUUUUCUCAGGUUCCAGGUCCCAGCUGGUGCUGACCCAACCCUCCUCGAUGGCAGAGUCUCUGGGAUCAACCGUUAGGAUCUCUUGCGCUUUGAACAGCGGCUACAGCUUGAGCAAUCAAUGGGUCCGCUGGUAUCAGCAGCAGUCUGGGGGUGUCCCACGGUUUCUAUACCACUAUUACAGCAGCAGUGACCAAGGCAGGGGCUCAGGGGUCCCCGAGAGAUUCACCGUCUCCCCUGACACCUCCAGCAACCUCUGGCAUUUAGUGAUCACGGGUGUCCAAGUCGAAGAUGAUGCUGAUUAUUAUUGCAAUACAUGGGAUGAGAAGCUAAGUCUGCUUCUGAAUGGCAUGAAAGCCAUGGAAUGA